rnacentral:rRNA from 1 species
AGUCGUACGAGAUCUUCGGAUCUAGUGGCGGACGGGUUAUAACGCGGGGGAACGUACCCUUCACUACGGAAUAGUCCCGGGAAACUGGGUUUAAUACCGUAUACGCCCUUCGGGGGAAAGAAUUUCGGUGAGGGAUCGGCCCGCGUUAGAUUAGUUAGUUGGUGGGGUAAUGGCCUACCAAGACUACGAUCUAUAGCUGGUUUGAGAGGAUGAUCAGCAACACUGGGACUGAGACACGGCCCAGACUCCUACGGGAGGCAGCAGUGGGGAAUCUUAGACAAUGGGGGCAACCCUGAUCUAGCGAUGCCGCGUGAGUGAUGAAGGCCUUAGGGUCGUAAAGCUCUUUCGCCUGUGAUGAUAAUGACAGUAGCAGGUAAAGAAACCCCGGCUAACUCCGUGCCAGCAGCCGCGGUAAUACGGAGGGGGUUAGCGUUGUUCGGAAUUACUGGGCGUAAAGCGCACGUAGGCGGAUUAGUCAGUCAGAGGUGAAAUCCCAGGGCUCAACCCUGGAACUGCCUUUGAUACUGCUAGUCUUGAGUUCGAGAGAGGUAAGUGGAAUUCCGAGUGUAGAGGUGAAAUUCGUAGAUAUUCGGAGGAACACCAGUGGCGAAGGCGGCUUACUGGCUCGAUACUGACGCUGAGGUGCGAAAGUGUGGGGAGCAAACAGGAUUAGAUACCC